rnacentral:rRNA from 1 species
CGGGUGAGUAAUGUAUGGGGAUCUGCCUGAUGGCGGGGGGUAACUACUGGAAACGGUAGCUAAUACCGCAUAAUGUCUGCGGACCAAAGCGGGGGACCUCCGGGCCUCGCGCCAUCAGAUGAACCCAUAUGGGAUUAGCUAGUAGGUGGGGUAACGGCUUACCUAGGCGACGAUCCCUAGCUGGUCUGAGAGGAUGAUCAGCCACACUGGGACUGAGACACGGCCCAG